rnacentral:rRNA from 1 species
GACGAACGCUGGCGGCGUGCUUAACACAUGCAAGUCGAACGGAAAGGCCCUGCUUUUGUGGGGUGCUCGAGUGGCGAACGUGUGAGUAACACGUGAGUAACCUGCCCUUUACUUUGGGAUAACUUCAGGAAACUGGGGCUAAUACCGGAUAUUAGCUCCUGCUGCAUGGUGGGGGUUGGAAAGUUUCGGCGGUUGGGGAUGGACUCGCGGCUUAUCAGCUUGUUGGUGGGGUAGUGGCUUACCAAGGCUUUGACGGGUAGCCGGCCUGAGAGGGUGACCGGCCACAUUGGGAAUGAGAUACGGCCAAGAAUCCGACGGGAGGAAGCAGUGGGGAAUAUUGCACAAUGGGCGGAAGCCUGAUGCAGCAACGCCGCGUGCGGGAUGACGGACUUCGGGUUGUAAACCGCUUUCGCCUGUGACGAAGCGUGAGUGACGGUAAUGGGUAAAGAAGCACCGGCUAACUACGUG